rnacentral:rRNA from 1 species
UUCGUAGGCGGUGCGGCAAGUUGGGAGUGAAAUCUCUGGGCUUAACCCAGAGGCUGCUUCCAGAACUGCUGUGCUUGAGUGUGGGAGAGGCGCGUGGAAUUGCAGGUGUAGCGGUGAAAUGCGUAGAUAUCUGCAGGAACACCCGUGGCGAAAGCGGCGCGCUGGACCACAACUGACGCUGAGGAACGAAAGCUAGGGGAGCAAACAGGAUUAGAUACCCUGGUAGUCCUAGCCCUAAACGAUCAGGACUUGGGGUGCCGCCCGUUCGGGCGUCGUCCCGGAGCUAACGCGUUAAGUCCUGCACCUGGGGAGUACGGUCGCAAGACUGAA